rnacentral:rRNA from 1 species
GUCGAUUCUGCCGGAGGUUACUGCUAUCGAGGUUCGACUAAGCCAUGCGAGUCGAAUGUAGCAAUACAUGGCGUACUGCUCAGUAACACGUGGACAACCUACCCUUGAGACGGGAAUAAACCCGGGAAACUGGGUAUAAUACCCGAUAGAUCUCGACUGCUGGAAUGCAUCGAGAUCCAAAGCUCCGGCGCUCAAGGAUGGAUCUGCGGCCUAUCAGGUAGUAGUGGGUGUAGCGUACCUACUAGCCUACGACGGGUACGGGUUGUGAGAGCAAGAGCCCGGAGAUGGAUUCCGAGACACGAAUCCAGGCCCUACGGGGUGCAGCAGGCGCGAAAACUUUACAAUGCUGGAAACAGCGAUAAGGGGACCUCGAGUGCCAGGUUACAAAUCUGGCUGUCGUGAUGCCUAAAAAGCAUUGCAUAGCAAGGGCCGGGCAAGACCGGUGCCAGCCGCCGCGGUAACACCGGCGGCUCGAGUGGUAACCGUUAUUAUUGGGUCUAAAGGGUCUGUAGCCGGCCAGAUAAGUCUCUUGAGAAAUCCAGCAGCUCAACUGUUGGGCUUUCAGGAGAUACUGUCUGGCUCGAGGCCGGGAGAGGUGAGAGGUACUUCAGGGGUAGGGGUGAAAUCUUGUAAUCCUUGAAGGACCACCAGUGGCGAAGGCGUCUCACCAGAACGGACCUGACGGCAAGGGACGAAAGCUAGGGGCACGAACCGGAUUAGAUACCCGGGUAGUCCUAGCCGUAAACGAUACUCGCUAGGUGUCGGCCACGGUGCGACCGUUGUCGGUGCCGUAGGGAAGCCGUGAAGCGAGCCACCUGGGAAGUACGGCCGCAAGGCUGAAACUUAAAGGAAUUGGCGGGGGAGCACCACAAC